GGAUUUGUUAUUUGGCAGGUGGGGUGCGUGGUCACAGAAGGCUUGAAUCAUGUGGACGCUCCAACAGUUUUGUUGUCAUUACUUAGAAUUCCUCAUGGGGGAGACAGAAACUAUGUACUUUUGC